AAGAUUUAUUUAUACCAUAAAUAUUUCAACAAAUUCCACUUUCUACGAUGAGUUCAAUCUUCACAAAAGUAGGAUGAACAGCACCUGUUUCCACUAGGAUCCAUAGCAGUGCACAAAAUAUGAAAACAUCCCAUGGUAGUGAAGUCAAUUAGCAUUAGUUAUUAGGGCUUUCAUGCACAGACUCAUCUCUGAUCGAUGUGAUCCCAAUUCAUAUUUGGCAAAAAAUACAAAAGCUGAUCUUAACAGUCAUAUUAUUUUUCUUUGUACCCCUAAAAAGAAAAAUGAACAUGAAAAACUAAAUUAAGCUUGGAGGCUCACAUUUCCCAAUCGGUAUACAAAGCAACAGCAUGUCAAACUUUCUAAUUCACAUAUGCAUUUAAAUGAAAUUGGAUGAAAUACCCCUAAAUAAACACAUACUUCUAUGCCCAAUGUUUCACAAGGCAGAAAACGCUCAAUGAAUGAAACUGAGAGGGUAACAGCCAGGAAGGCCAGGGGUCUCCAAAGGGAGGAAAUGGGGUGCAAGUGUCAGACAGUUGUUAUCUGUCACUUCCGAGGCAGGAGGAAACAAGCUGUUAUCUUUUUUCCCCUUCUUGAUACAAAUUUAAAAAGAGGUUUUCUCUUACAAUUCUGUGUUGCUAUAAUGACACCUGGUUCCACCUGAACUUCACUUUUCUCAUACUUUGAGCUGACCAAGGCAUUUUUCUCAUGGAAAGGUUUGCCUUAAGCUAUGUGAAUGUACUAGGUAUUUACCCUAGACUCUAUCUUCAAGUAGGUUCUGCCUAAAGGCUCAGAACUGACUUGACAAACCAAUAUGCGUUACUCAUACAUGGCUCUCCUGAUCUAUGUGAAUGAAGCUAUCCAUUUGCUCAUAUCAAUCGUUUUAUGGCCCAGGAUGACUCACCUGGUGCCACGGUCAUCUCCAUAUAUCUUGUGGGUGAGGGGUCUGCUGCCAUUCCUUUCUCUAAUGAGUAGACUGCUAGUAGCUAGAUAACAUCCAGCCAAAGAUGAGUAGGGGGCACUCUUUCUGCCCCCUUCUGAUGUCUAUGUCAGAAGCUUUCUCUCUUUUAUACUUUAAUAAAACGUUGGGACACAAAAGCUCUGACUGAUCAAGCCUCAUCAC
ensembl:lncRNA